rnacentral:misc_RNA from 1 species
GAUGAAGAACGUAGCGAAAUGCGAUAAGUAAUGUGAAUUGCAGAAUUCAGUGAAUCAUCGAAUCUUUGAACGCACAUUGCGCCCCUUGGUAUUCCGGGGGGCAUGCCUGUUCGAGCGUCAUUACAACCCUCAAGCUCUGCUUGGUCUUGGGCGUCACCGGUCCCCGGUGUGCCCUAAAAUCAGUGGCGGCGCCAUCUGGCUCUAAGCGUAGUACAUACUCUCGCUACAGACGUCCGGUGGAUGCUGGCCAGCAACCCCCAAUUUAUCAAGGUUGACCUCGGAUCAGGUAGGGAUACCCGCUGAACUUAAGCAUAUCAAUAAGCGGAGGA